UAAAAGAUCUAAAGAUGAACCUUCGGAAUGCAACAGCUUUCUUCAAAGCUCUAAACGGAUGGGCCAAGUUGCAACGCAUAUUCUUACUGCAGAAUCAGAAGUAGAAAUUGAUUUUAAUACAU